GACGAACGCUGGCGGCGUGCUUAACACAUGCAAGUCGAGCGGUAAGGCCCUUUCGGGGGUACACGAGCGGCGAACGGGUGAGUAACACGUGGGUGACCUGCCCUCAGCUCUGGGAUAAGCCCGGGAAACUGGGUCUAAUACCGGAUAUGACUCCAUGACGCAUGUUGUGGGGUGGAAAGCCUUGUGCGGCUGAGGAUGGGCCCGCGGCCUAUCAGCUUGUUGGUGGGGUGAUGGCCACCAAGGCGACGACGGGUAGCCGGCCUGAGAGGGCGACCGGCCACACUGGGACUGAGAUACGGCCCAGACUCCUACGGGAGGCAGCAGUCGGGAAUUUUGGGCAAUGGGGGAAACCCUGACCCAGCAACGCCGCGUGAAGGAUGAAGUAUUUCGGUAUGUAAACUUCGAAAGAAUAGGAAGAAUUAAUGACGUACUAUUUAUAAGUCCGGCUAACUACGUGCCAGCCGCCGCUGUAAG
rnacentral:rRNA from 1 species